rnacentral:tRNA from 1 species
GCCCACCUGGCGCAAUGGUUAGCGCAUCUGACUUCUAUGGUCCUCCAAGACAGCUAUCAGAAGGCUCUGAGUUCGAGUCUCAGGGUGGGUG